CCUCACCGCAACCCGAUAAAGGACGGUCUCCCUGCCCCCUACUUUUGCGAUCGUUGUUUUGGUUGUUGGCAUGCGUGGUUACGCGUCUGCGGUGUCCUUUAAGUGGAUCCUCAGCCAUCCGUAAUCGAUUUUCGGAUUGGACGAUCCAUCGAUCGUUGAUUUCGUUUUCGGAUUGGAUGAUCUGUUUCCGAUAGGUGGUGCAUCCAAAUCCUCAGCCAUCCCUUAAUCGUUGAUUUCGUUUUCGGAUUGGAUAAUCUGUUUCCGAUAGAGGGCUUCACAAUUUUGCCGGAUUAAGGCUAUUUGCGACAGAUUUUAUAUGUACUUUCGAAGCGGUAGGUGAGGCUGUGGUGUUUAUGUGGGUAUUAUCUUAAUGGAACCCUCGCGGAGUCUGUGAGGCAAUUUGUGAAGGUUGCUCUGGUAUGCGUUGCACGAUUAAAUAUUUUUUCCAUUAGAUAGUGUUCUAUUUAAGGGGUUUCCUUACUGUAAUGAACGCUGCUUAUUAUCAUGGAUGCAGGUUUUCCGAAAUGAUCUAAACAAGGGAUGUGUCUUUUUUGUUCUGGUUUAGUUGGCCUUCGUUACUUUCAACUUUUAUUUGUUGCAUUUAUGUCCACCAGUUGGUUAUGUUUGUUUGUUUUUAUUUUUUGUGUGCAAGGGAAAGCUUCUGGAUAUGAUAUUUGUAAGAGAGAUGUAUGUGUUUUGGUACCAUGCUAUGAUAUUUGGUUUGAGAUAUACGCUAACGGUAUCAGCAUCAAUGCUGUGUCUUUUGGAUACUCUAGUUGGAUUUAGACGAGUAUCAGGGAAGAGUUCCAUCAACUUCUCAUUUUUUGAGGUUGCCUGUUAAAUUGUUGAUUAUUUUUCCUGUCCUCCUUCUGUCAGCAUUUUAUAUAUAUUGAAGUUAAAUCUAUCUCUUUGUUUUCUGAAUGUUCUAUUCCUAAUGUUUUUGUAGGCAGUUGCCUAAGCAUCAUCGUUAGGCAUGAUUCUAUUAAAUAGAGAUGGUAACUCACCUUUGUUGGAUUGUUUUUGGUAUGAGACCUAGGAUUUUACAUUUUUGAUAAGGCUAGUUUCUGUGGCAGAUUCUAUAUGUGUCAUCGAAGCUGUUGGUGGGGCUCUGGUGUUUUUGUGGUUAUUAUCUGUAUGGAGCCACACGUAGCUGUGAUGCAGUUUGUAAAGGAUGCUCCAAUUAAGGAUGCUCUGGUUUUUGUUGAAUGAUUUAAAUAGGUUUUCCAUUAGAUAGUGUUAUAUUUAAGGGGUUUAAUUGUUGUGACAUACCUUAUUACGAUGGAUCCAGGGCUUCUGAAAUUAUCUGAACAGUGGAUAUGUCCGGUUUGUGCUGGUUUAGUCAGCCCUUGUUACUUUCAAACAUUAAUUGUUGCCCUUGCGUGCACAAGUUGGUCAUUUGAUACGGUUCUCAUCAAAGUAUGGUUGUUUGUUUUUAUUUGUUGUCUGCUAGGGGAAGCUGAUGGACAUCUAGUUUUGCAUGGGCAUGGGACAUUUUUUUGAAAGUGAGAUGUGAGUGUUCUGCUACCUUCCUAUGGUAUUUGGUUUCGAUAUGUUCUACUCUAUCAUCAUUCAUGGAAGAGGUUCCUUUCACUUUUCAUUGGCUAUCUGUCUGUCUACUUAUUCCAUUGUGAUACCAGAAAGUCGACGGAAGCGGGAAGCAGGAUCCAAGUAAGAAAUGAUAAGCACAAAGAACUAUAGAAAGCUUAAGAUUCUUACAAUAGAUUUGGUAUGAACAAAGCUUGAAAUGCUUACAAAGGAUAGAGGAUAAUCUUCUUCUCAAAUGAGAGUCCGUCACGUGUUUUGGUUCUGAGCUUGUCCAUUUCCUGUUGGUAUUGCAAGAGGAGGUCGCCUGGUUUAUUAGUUGAUUCAGGUGUGUGGCAGCCUUGAUGUUUGGUUUGGCUUGAACUUCCUGGGUGGCUUCCAGGAUUAGGAGUAAUAAUUCGCUUGGCCAUCCUGCAACCAAAAUAUUUAUUAGUCUUGAUAAAGAGUCGGCUAGAAUGUUACUUUCCCCUUCGAUGUGCUCAAACUUCACUUCCACGCCGCUUCCAGUGAUAUAGUCUACAAAGGCCAUCCAUCUGAUUCUAGAUGGUUUGUUCUGAGCUGACUUGUUGAAGAAGCUUAUUAUUGCUUGGCAAUCUGUUCUAAUAAUGAUUUCCCUUUUGUCAAGAAAAUAGAUCUUCAAUGCCUCUAGGGUUUUCAUAACUGCAUGCAUUUCAGCAUCUAUAGUCGAUUUGAUGGGAUUGUACUUUCCACUGGCGUAAGCACAUACCUUUUCAGUAUUUCUGGGGUUAUAUCUUUGUUUUUUCCAUUUACAAAUUCCUCCCCAUCCUUCCAUGCAUCCGUCUGUUUCUAGUAUUAUGAAACAGUCUUCAGGAGGUACUUCCAGGUCAGGAAGAUUCUGUACUAAGCUCUUGAUUUUCUUGAUUAGUUCCCAAUCUUGAUUGUUCAUCCUUUUCUCGCCUGUUGGGCUUGUUUUUGAAUAUAAUGGGCCUAAGAGUCUGCCCAGGUUGGGUAUGUAGCUUCUUGCAUAGUUUAGGAUCCCCAGCCAUGACCUGAGGCCUUUCUUAGUAGUAAGGUCUUCCUCCUGAUAGUCAGUAAUUUUUUUGAUGAUAUGGGGUUGUAGUUUGAUCUUGGAAUUCCCCAGGACUGCUCCAAGAAACUCAAUUUCCUUUACUGCAAUUUUCAUCUUUGUUGGGCUUAAAACAAGGCCAUUCUCUUGGCAUAUUUUUAACAUCUUGGUGAGGUGCUGCUCAUGCUCCUUUUCGUUUUCUGAGAAAACAAGGAUAUCAUCAAUGUAGACUGCAAUGAAUUGUUCCGUACCUCUGAAGCAAUUAUCCAUUUUCCUUUGGAAAACCGCAGAGGCAUUUUUAAGACCAAAUGGCAUUGCAAGCCAUUCAUACAACCCUUCCGGUACCCAGAAUGCAGUCCAUUCAAUGGAAUCGGGGUGCAUAGCGACUUGAUGAAAGCCAGAUUUUAGAUCAAACUUUGAGUAAAUUUUACUAUUGCUAACCUUUUUGAGGAUGGUGUUAAUUCCAGGGAGGCUAUAUUGAUCCUUCUCCGUGAUGUCAUUGAGCCUUUUGUAGUUAAAAACCAUCCUUUCCUUUCCUUUUCUUUCUGCUCCUGUUAUGGGGUCCACCGUGGUUCCAGAAUUAACAAUUAUAGCAGUGGUACGGUGCUUGCUUUUGCUUGGUCUGAUAACCCCUAUUUCCAGUAAUGCUCUUACAUGCUUUGAAAAGGCUUCCUUUGCUUGUGGUGUCAAAUGUCUGAGAGGCUUGUCUUCUACCACAAAAUCUUGAUUUUUGAUUUCCAACUUGCAUGUUAUUUCAUUCUUUCUCCAAUGCUUGAGAGGGUCCUCCCCAAUAUAACCUUGGGCCUUUAGCUGAUCUAGUAGGCUUCCGAACUUGGCUCUUAUUUUUUCAUUGCUCUGCUGGGCUUCUGCAGAGUAACAUACUGACUCCUGGAUUUGAAUAUAGUCAUCCUCUUCUAGGUCUAGUUCUUCUAUUGCUGCGGCUGUCGAGAUAUAGGGCAGAGUAUUAAUAGUUGUCAAAUUUUUGUAGAAUGUAACCGUGUUACCUUCGAUCCUGACCCCUCCUUGCAUUGCCCUUAUAAAAUUGCAUCCUAUUAUCAUCUGAAUAUCAUCCCCUAGCUUCAUUGAGAAUGCAUAAGUGUAGGGAAUUCUGAAACUGUUGGUUCCAAUAGUCAUUUUGCCUCCCCUUAAUUUUUUAUUUGCUGUUGUUUUGGAGGUAAUCCCGCUAAAAUGUACAACAUAAGGGUUUUCCUCCAUUGCCGCUUUUGGUACAACCUUUUCAUCUAUGCAACAAGUAGUCGCACCUGUAUCUAAUAUAGCAUUAACCUCAAAAGGGGGAAUAUUUAGAAUCUCCAUAUGUACCUUUAGGUUGAAGAGCAUAUUCUUAGAUUUUCUUGAUCCUCCCGUUUCCUUUGUUUCCAUAGAAAGGAUCUUCUGGGUUUCUUCUAAGAGAACGAGAGCUCCUUCACUUUCUUCUUCUUCGCUCUCUUCCAUCUUUCUUUUUCCCAACCUUUGUAUCUCCCUUAGUAUGCUUUCCUUCGUCAGGAAUAUGCUUUCCUUCGUCAGGAAGUUAGAGAAAUAUCUGAUGAAAGGAUAAGGAUGCGAUGGGGCCCAAUGAGCACCCGGUUCUAUCCUCUUCCUCUAUAUAUUCUCUAGCUUAGUCUCUUGCAAGGCAUCGGUCGAAAAACCAGAGCCUUACUUGAGAAGAAGAUUAUCCUCUAUCCUUUGUAAGCAUUUCAAGCUUUGUUCAUACCAAAUCUAUUGUAAGAAUCUUAAGCUUUCUAUAGUUCUUUGUGCUUAUCAUUUCUUACUUGGAUCCUGCUUCCCGCUUCCGUCGACUUUCUGGUAUCAGAGCCGGUUGUAUUCUGUUCUGAUAUAGUUUCUAACUAAAUUGCUAUGAUGUUUAUGCUAAGUUUGCUUUGUAAAACAUCACUUACGGUUUAAAACUUGUAAGGAGCCCGAGGAAGGCAGCCAGGUCAGGGAACCGCAGUAAGACCUUUGACGCAAGCUCUCUAAAGUUGAGAACGUAAGUAGAUUAAAACAAUGCAUAUUUAGCAUAUGUCUAAGCUUUGGGAAGAAGCUAUUCAAAAAUGGUAUACAGACUCCCAUACCUCCCAUCUGGACUACCUAAAUCUAGCGGAGACUCCAAAACCCACUAAAAAGGAACUAGCUCACAACAUCUCUGUCAUUUACGAUCGAACUUGUCUUUCAAGUAGAGUAAAUCUGAGAAACUUCAAACUUUUGCUUGAAGAAAACCGCAACCUUGAGCAUAGGGUUAAGAACCUCGAAGCCUCAAUAACAACGCUGUCUUCCUUACUCAUCAAGAACAAGCCCCUUACUCAAGUUGAUGUUCAAAAAUUGGUUUUAAAGAUAACUAAGCAACCCAAACUCAUUGAGGAAGAAGCCUUACGACUUUCACAGAGCCUGGACCAAAAACUCCAAAGGAUUGAAAUUCUAUUAUCCAAAAUAGAAAAACAAAUCUUUGGAUGAGUCAUAUAUCCUCCAGGAGUACCGAAUCUUACAAAGAAGCUCUUAAAGCUACUGAAUCUAUUGAACCCCCAUCACUUGGAUUUCUCAAGACAAGUGAUUUUCAGGGAACUCUUAGCCAUCAGGUAGCCGUAAUCAAGCAGCAUAACGUACAAAUUCAACUUCUGGUACAAAUUGCUGAAAACAUAAAAGGAAUACGAACGGAGCUACAGACAAUACGGGAAUUGCAACAAUCAAAGGCGACGCAAUCCCAAGUGGUACCAGACGAACUCAUCACCAAACUAGCAAACCUCAACCUAGGCCCCUCUGAAAGGCCUAAGGAGACAAAAGGAAGAAUAUUAGUCUUUAAAGACCCUAUAAAAAUCUUCCAAGAAAACAGAAGAUGACUUCCAGAACACAGACCCAAGAGGUAUCUACGUCAACUCCUCUUGUAGAAGACCAAAUCAGGAACUACAGAAGAAACCAGAGGAGAAUAUUCAACGCUUGAAGACGACUUGGGCAACUCAUCUUCAGAAAUACAGACUUAAACGCACAGAUUCUGGAACAACAAAUAGACCCUCAAGCGCAGCUGCAAUUAUCCAUGAGGGAAAGAGCUGCAAUAGCACCUGCUGAAGUAUUGUACCACUCAAGGAGAGAUGAUGUGCAUCACAGGGUCUAUACGCAUCGAUCUGAAGAGGCUAUGUUGGUCACCAACAAUCAAGAAGACAGGGCUUUCAUUCAGGAGCCAAGCUUUGACCAACUGACCAGGAGCGGGAUGAGGUAUAUUCAUCUCGGGAUCCUACAAACAAGGGUCCAGACACUCCACAGACAGGAAGAGGGAACACUGGCACUAUUAGUGUUCCGAGACAACAGAUGGGCUGAUGACAGGUCCAUCAUUGCCACAAUGGAAGUAGACCUGACUAGAGGAAGUCAACUGGUCUACGUAGUACCAGAAGGCAGAUACCAUGAUGACAAUAGGAGAUUUUUACCGUAAUAUACAACUUUCUAUACUAACCCGUGGAUAUGACACAUGGCAGAAUGGAGAAGCAAAUCUGCUAAUCACCAGGGGAAUGGUAGGGCGACUUUCAAAUACCCCGAAUGUCGCCUUUGCAUAUGAAAUUUCAGGGGUGGUGGAUUACUUGACAAGCCAUGGCGUAAGGGCUCUGCCAGGAAGGAGGUAUUCCACAGCAGAAAUCAGAGGAAGAGACUGGAUGAUCAGACCCACACAGGUUUCAAUUCCCAUACAACCUGCUGAACUCAGGAGCCGAAAUCUAAUUGACGGAAGAAUUUCAAUUAGCUUUGACAAUUAUAAAGCAGCAUCAACAUCCAGCAGAAUCCGUUACAACAACACGGAUGACGAAACAUUCAGUGAUGAAGAGGAAAUCCGAAGCCACACAAUAGCUGUCAACGUUCAAUUAACCGACAACGAGGACGAGGCUGAGGAGCUAAAGGAAAACCUUAAUUCCUACUUCCAAGGCACCCACAUCACAGAAGAGGAUAGAACCGGGUGCUCAUUGGGCCCCAUCGCAUCCUUAUCCUUUCAUCAGAUAUUUCUCUAACUUCCUGACGAAGGAAAGCAUAUUCCUUCGCACAAUUAUUGGUGAUACUAUGAGCGGCUCCCCGAGGCUCAGCUCAUUUUCCUUAGUGACUAAGAAAAGCAAAAUAUUUUGUCCCACACCAUUUGUCUUUGCUUGACGGCUAAGCAAAGUAUUUAUGCCAGCUGUUAUUUGUCUUUGCCUGGCGGCUAAGUAAAGUAUUUAUGCCAGCUGUCUAAAGGCUGAAGCUGGUUGUCCUUUGUGAGACAUCUUUUACCAGAGAUAGGGCCUCCUUUAGUUGUUGUUGCUGUUGAAGGACGACUGGUAGCCAGUCCCUGUACCAGUUGUCCUUUCCACCGCUCCUUCUCUGAUAUUCUUUGGUCUUGAUUAAGUGGAUGUCGAAGAAUUGCUGUAAUGCUUCAAGUGCUUGUCGGGAGGCUUCCUUUUGAAUUGAUCCAAGUCUUCUUUCAGAUAAUCCUUCUUCAUUAAAUGAGAGUCCGUCACGUGUUUUGGUUCUGAGCUUGUCCAUUUCCUGUUGGUAUUGCAAGAGGUCGCCUGGUUUAUUAGUUGAUUCAGGUGUGUGGCAGCCUUGAUGUUUGGUUUGGCUUGAACUUCCUGGGUGGCUUCCAGGAUUAGGAGUAAUGAUUCGCUUGGCCAUCCUGCAACCAAAAUAUUUAUUAGUCUUGAUAAAGAGUCGGCUAGAAUGUUACUUUCCCCUUCGAUGUGCUCAAACUUCACUUCCACGCCGCUUCCAGUGAUAUAGUCUACAAAGGCCAUCCAUCUGACUCUAGAUGGUUUGUUCUGAGCUGACUUGUUGAAGAAGCUUAUUAUUGCUUGGCAAUCUGUUCUAAUAAUGAUUUCCCUUUUGUCAAGAAAAUAGAUCUUCAAUGCCUCUAGGGUUUUCAUAACUGCAUGCAUUUCAGCAUCUAUAGUCGAUUUGAUGGGAUUGUACUUUCCACUGGCGUAAGCACAUACCUUUUCAGUAUUUCUGGGGUUAUAUCUUUGUUUUUUCCAUUUACAAAUUCCUCCCCAUCCUUCCAUGCAUCCGUCUGUUUCUAGUAUUAUGAAACAGUCUUCAGGAGGUACUUCCAGGUCAGGAAGAUUCUGUACUAAGCUCUUGAUUUUCUUGAUUAGUUCCCAAUCUUGAUUGUUCAUCCUUUUCUCGCCUGUUGGGCUUGUUUUUGAAUAUAAUGGGCCUAAGAGUCUGCCCAGGUUGGGUAUGUAGCUUCUUGCAUAGUUUAGGAUCCCCAGCCAUGACUUGAGGCCUUUCUUAGUAGUAAGGUCUUCCUCCUGAUAGUCAGUAAUUUUUUUGAUGAUAUGGGGUUGUAGUUUGAUCUUGGAAUUCCCCAGGACUGCUCCAAGAAACUCAAUUUCCUUUACUGCAAUUUUCAUCUUUGUUGGGCUUAAAACAAGGCCAUUCUCUUGGCAUAUUUUUAACAUCUUGGUGAGGUGCUGCUCAUGCUCCUUUUCGUUUUCUGAGAAAACAAGGAUAUCAUCAAUGUAGACUGCAAUGAAUUGUUCCGUACCUCUGAAGCAAUUAUCCAUUUUCCUUUGGAAAACCGCAGGGGCAUUUUUAAGACCAAAUGGCAUUGCAAGCCAUUCAUACAACCCUUCCGGUACCCAGAAUGCAGUCCAUUCAAUGGAAUCGGGGUGCAUAGCGACUUGAUGAAAGCCAGAUUUUAGAUCAAACUUUGAGUAAAUUUUACUAUUGCUAACCUUUUUGAGGAUGGUGUUAAUUCCAGGGAGGCUAUAUUGAUCCUUCUCCGUGAUGUCAUUGAGCCUUUUGUAGUUAAAAACCAUCCUUUCCUUUCCUUUUCUUUCUGCUCCUGUUAUGGGGUCCACCGUGGUUCCAGAAUUAACAAUUAUAGCAGUGGUACGGUGCUUGCUUUUGCUUGGUCUGAUAACCCCUAUUUCCAGUAAUGCUCUUACAUGCUUUGAAAAGGCUUCCUUUGCUUGUGGUGUCAAAUGUCUGAGAGGCUUGUCUUCUACCACAAAAUCUUGAUUUUUGAUUUCCAACUUGCAUGUUAUUUCAUUCUUUCUCCAAUGCUUGAGAGGGUCCUCCCCAAUAUAACCUUGGGCCUUUAGCUGAUCUAGUAGGCUUCCGAACUUGGCUCUUAUUUUUUCAUUGCUCUGCUGGGCUUCUGCAGAGUAACAUACUGACUCCUGGAUUUGAAUAUAGUCAUCCUCUUCUAGGUCUAGUUCUUCUAUUGCUGCGGCUGUCGAGAUAUAGGGCAGAGUAUUAAUAGUUGUCAAAUUUUUGUAGAAUGUAACCGUGUUACCUUCGAUCCUGACCCCUCCUUGCAUUGCCCUUAUAAAAUUGCAUCCUAUUAUCAUCUGAAUAUCAUCCCCUAGCUUCAUUGAGAAUGCAUAAGUGUAGGGAAUUCUGAAACUGUUGGUUCCAAUAGUCAUUUUGCCUCCCCUUAAUUUUUUAUUUGCUGUUGUUUUGGAGGUAAUCCCGCUAAAAUGUACAACAUAAGGGUUUUCCUCCAUUGCCGCUUUUGGUACAACCUUUUCAUCUAUGCAACAAGUAGUCGCACCUGUAUCUAAUAUAGCAUUAACCUCAAAAGGGGGAAUAUUUAGAAUCUCCAUAUGUACCUUUAGGUUGAAGAGCAUAUUCUUAGAUUUUCUUGAUCCUCCCGUUUCCUUUGUUUCCAUAGAAAGGAUCUUCUGGGUUUCUUCUAAGAGAACGAGAGCUCCUUCACUUUCUUCUUCUUCGCUCUCUUCCAUCUUUCUUUUUCCCAACCUUUGUAUCUCCCUUAGUAUGCUUUCCUUCGUCAGGAAUAUGCUUUCCUUCGUCAGGAAGUUAGAGAAAUAUCUGAUGAAAGGAUAAGGAUGCGAUGGGGCCCAAUGAGCACCCGGUUCUAUCCUCUUCCUCUAUAUAUUCUCUAGCUUAGUCUCUUGCAAGGCAUCGGUCGAAAAACCAGAGCCUUACUUGAGAAGAAGAUUAUCCUCUAUCCUUUGUAAGCAUUUCAAGCUUUGUUCAUACCAAAUCUAUUGUAAGAAUCUUAAGCUUUCUAUAGUUCUUUGUGCUUAUCAUUUCUUACUUGGAUCCUGCUUCCCGCUUCCGUCGACUUUCUGGUAUCAGAGCCGGUUGUAUUCUGUUCUGAUAUAGUUUCUAACUAAAUUGCUAUGAUGUUUAUGCUAAGUUUGCUUUGUAAAACAUCACUUACGGUUUAAAACUUGUAAGGAGCCCGAGGAAGGCAGCCAGGUCAGGGAACCGCAGUAAGACCUUUGACGCAAGCUCUCUAAAGUUGAGAACGUAAGUAGAUUAAAACAAUGCAUAUUUAGCAUAUGUCUAAGCUUUGGGAAGAAGCUAUUCAAAAAUGGUAUACAGACUCCCAUACCUCCCAUCUGGACUACCUAAAUCUAGCGGAGACUCCAAAACCCACUAAAAAGGAACUAGCUCACAACAUCUCUGUCAUUUACGACCGAACUUGUCUUUCAAGUAGAGUAAAUCUGAGAAACUUCAAACUUUUGCUUGAAGAAAACCGCAACCUUGAGCAUAGGGUUAAGAACCUCGAAGCCUCAAUAACAACGCUGUCUUCCUUACUCAUCAAGAACAAGCCCCUUACUCAAGUUGAUGUUCAAAAAUUGGUUUUAAAGAUAACUAAGCAACCCAAACUCAUUGAGGAAGAAGCCUUACGACUUUCACAGAGCCUGGACCAAAAACUCCAAAGGAUUGAAAUUCUAUUAUCCAAAAUAGAAAAACAAAUCUUUGGAUGAGUCAUAUAUCCUCCAGGAGUACCGAAUCUUACAAAGAAGCUCUUAAAGCUACUGAAUCUAUUGAACCCCCAUCACUUGGAUUUCUCAAGACAAGUGAUUUUCAGGGAACUCUUAGCCAUCAGGUAGCCGUAAUCAAGCAGCAUAACGUACAAAUUCAACUUCUGGUACAAAUUGCUGAAAACAUAAAAGGAAUACGAACGGAGCUACAGACAAUACGGGAAUUGCAACAAUCAAAGGCGACGCAAUCCCAAGUGGUACCAGACGAACUCAUCACCAAACUAGCAAACCUCAACCUAGGCCCCUCUGAAAGGCCUAAGGAGACAAAAGGAAGAAUAUUAGUCUUUAAAGACCCUAUAAAAAUCUUCCAAGAAAACAGAAGAUGACUUCCAGAACACAGACCCAAGAGGUAUCUACGUCAACUCCUCUUGUAGAAGACCAAAUCAGGAACUACAGAAGAAACCAGAGGAGAAUAUUCAACGCUUGAAGACGACUUGGGCAACUCAUCUUCAGAAAUACAGACUUAAACGCACAGAUUCUGGAACAACAAAUAGACCCUCAAGCGCAGCUGCAAUUAUCCAUGAGGGAAAGAGCUGCAAUAGCACCUGCUGAAGUAUUGUACCACUCAAGGAGAGAUGAUGUGCAUCACAGGGUCUAUACGCAUCGAUCUGAAGAGGCUAUGUUGGUCACCAACAAUCAAGAAGACAGGGCUUUCAUUCAGGAGCCAAGCUUUGACCAACUGACCAGGAGCGGGAUGAGGUAUAUUCAUCUCGGGAUCCUACAAACAAGGGUCCAGACACUCCACAGACAGGAAGAGGGAACACUGGCACUAUUAGUGUUCCGAGACAACAGAUGGGCUGAUGACAGGUCCAUCAUUGCCACAAUGGAAGUAGACCUGACUAGAGGAAGUCAACUGGUCUACGUAGUACCAGAAGGCAGAUACCAUGAUGACAAUAGGAGAUUUUUACCGUAAUAUACAACUUUCUAUACUAACCCGUGGAUAUGACACAUGGCAGAAUGGAGAAGCAAAUCUGCUAAUCACCAGGGGAAUGGUAGGGCGACUUUCAAAUACCCCGAAUGUCGCCUUUGCAUAUGAAAUUUCAGGGGUGGUGGAUUACUUGACAAGCCAUGGCGUAAGGGCUCUGCCAGGAAGGAGGUAUUCCACAGCAGAAAUCAGAGGAAGAGACUGGAUGAUCAGACCCACACAGGUUUCAAUUCCCAUACAACCUGCUGAACUCAGGAGCCGAAAUCUAAUUGACGGAAGAAUUUCAAUUAGCUUUGACAAUUAUAAAGCAGCAUCAACAUCCAGCAGAAUCCGUUACAACAACACGGAUGACGAAACAUUCAGUGAUGAAGAGGAAAUCCGAAGCCACACAAUAGCUGUCAACGUUCAAUUAACCGACAACGAGGACGAGGCUGAGGAGCUAAAGGAAAACCUUAAUUCCUACUUCCAAGGCACCCACAUCACAGAAGAGGAUAGAACCGGGUGCUCAUUGGGCCCCAUCGCAUCCUUAUCCUUUCAUCAGAUAUUUCUCUAACUUCCUGACGAAGGAAAGCAUAUUCCUUCGCACAAUUAUUGGUGAUACUAUGAGCGGCUCCCCGAGGCUCAGCUCAUUUUCCUUAGUGACUAAGAAAAGCAAAAUAUUUUGUCCCACACCAUUUGUCUUUGCUUGACGGCUAAGCAAAGUAUUUAUGCCAGCUGUUAUUUGUCUUUGCCUGGCGGCUAAGUAAAGUAUUUAUGCCAGCUGUCUAAAGGCUGAAGCUGGUUGUCCUUUGUGAGACAUCUUUUACCAGAGAUAGGGCCUCCUUUAGUUGUUGUUGCUGUUGAAGGACGACUGGUAGCCAGUCCCUGUACCAGUUGUCCUUUCCACCGCUCCUUCUCUGAUAUUCUUUGGUCUUGAUUAAGUGGAUGUCGAAGAAUUGCUGUAAUGCUUCAAGUGCUUGUCGGGAGGCUUCCUUUUGAAUUGAUCCAAGUCUUCUUUCAGAUAAUCCUUCUUCAUUAAAUGAGAGUCCGUCACGUGUUUUGGUUCUGAGCUUGUCCAUUUCCUGUUGGUAUUGCAAGAGGUCGCCUGGUUUAUUAGUUGAUUCAGGUGUGUGGCAGCCUUGAUGUUUGGUUUGGCUUGAACUUCCUGGGUGGCUUCCAGGAUUAGGAGUAAUGAUUCGCUUGGCCAUCCUGCAACCAAAAUAUUUAUUAGUCUUGAUAAAGAGUCGGCUAGAAUGUUACUUUCCCCUUCGAUGUGCUCAAACUUCACUUCCACGCCGCUUCCAGUGAUAUAGUCUACAAAGGCCAUCCAUCUGACUCUAGAUGGUUUGUUCUGAGCUGACUUGUUGAAGAAGCUUAUUAUUGCUUGGCAAUCUGUUCUAAUAAUGAUUUCCCUUUUGUCAAGAAAAUAGAUCUUCAAUGCCUCUAGGGUUUUCAUAACUGCAUGCAUUUCAGCAUCUAUAGUCGAUUUGAUGGGAUUGUACUUUCCACUGGCGUAAGCACAUACCUUUUCAGUAUUUCUGGGGUUAUAUCUUUGUUUUUUCCAUUUACAAAUUCCUCCCCAUCCUUCCAUGCAUCCGUCUGUUUCUAGUAUUAUGAAACAGUCUUCAGGAGGUACUUCCAGGUCAGGAAGAUUCUGUACUAAGCUCUUGAUUUUCUUGAUUAGUUCCCAAUCUUGAUUGUUCAUCCUUUUCUCGCCUGUUGGGCUUGUUUUUGAAUAUAAUGGGCCUAAGAGUCUGCCCAGGUUGGGUAUGUAGCUUCUUGCAUAGUUUAGGAUCCCCAGCCAUGACUUGAGGCCUUUCUUAGUAGUAAGGUCUUCCUCCUGAUAGUCAGUAAUUUUUUUGAUGAUAUGGGGUUGUAGUUUGAUCUUGGAAUUCCCCAGGACUGCUCCAAGAAACUCAAUUUCCUUUACUGCAAUUUUCAUCUUUGUUGGGCUUAAAACAAGGCCAUUCUCUUGGCAUAUUUUUAACAUCUUGGUGAGGUGCUGCUCAUGCUCCUUUUCGUUUUCUGAGAAAACAAGGAUAUCAUCAAUGUAGACUGCAAUGAAUUGUUCCGUACCUCUGAAGCAAUUAUCCAUUUUCCUUUGGAAAACCGCAGGGGCAUUUUUAAGACCAAAUGGCAUUGCAAGCCAUUCAUACAACCCUUCCGGUACCCAGAAUGCAGUCCAUUCAAUGGAAUCGGGGUGCAUAGCGACUUGAUGAAAGCCAGAUUUUAGAUCAAACUUUGAGUAAAUUUUACUAUUGCUAACCUUUUUGAGGAUGGUGUUAAUUCCAGGGAGGCUAUAUUGAUCCUUCUCCGUGAUGUCAUUGAGCCUUUUGUAGUUAAAAACCAUCCUUUCCUUUCCUUUUCUUUCUGCUCCUGUUAUGGGGUCCACCGUGGUUCCAGAAUUAACAAUUAUAGCAGUGGUACGGUGCUUGCUUUUGCUUGGUCUGAUAACCCCUAUUUCCAGUAAUGCUCUUACAUGCUUUGAAAAGGCUUCCUUUGCUUGUGGUGUCAAAUGUCUGAGAGGCUUGUCUUCUACCACAAAAUCUUGAUUUUUGAUUUCCAACUUGCAUGUUAUUUCAUUCUUUCUCCAAUGCUUGAGAGGGUCCUCCCCAAUAUAACCUUGGGCCUUUAGCUGAUCUAGUAGGCUUCCGAACUUGGCUCUUAUUUUUUCAUUGCUCUGCUGGGCUUCUGCAGAGUAACAUACUGACUCCUGGAUUUGAAUAUAGUCAUCCUCUUCUAGGUCUAGUUCUUCUAUUGCUGCGGCUGUCGAGAUAUAGGGCAGAGUAUUAAUAGUUGUCAAAUUUUUGUAGAAUGUAACCGUGUUACCUUCGAUCCUGACCCCUCCUUGCAUUGCCCUUAUAAAAUUGCAUCCUAUUAUCAUCUGAAUAUCAUCCCCUAGCUUCAUUGAGAAUGCAUAAGUGUAGGGAAUUCUGAAACUGUUGGUUCCAAUAGUCAUUUUGCCUCCCCUUAAUUUUUUAUUUGCUGUUGUUUUGGAGGUAAUCCCGCUAAAAUGUACAACAUAAGGGUUUUCCUCCAUUGCCGCUUUUGGUACAACCUUUUCAUCUAUGCAACAAGUAGUCGCACCUGUAUCUAAUAUAGCAUUAACCUCAAAAGGGGGAAUAUUUAGAAUCUCCAUAUGUACCUUUAGGUUGAAGAGCAUAUUCUUAGAUUUUCUUGAUCCUCCCGUUUCCUUUGUUUCCAUAGAAAGGAUCUUCUGGGUUUCUUCUAAGAGAACGAGAGCUCCUUCACUUUCUUCUUCUUCGCUCUCUUCCAUCUUUCUUUUUCCCAACCUUUGUAUCUCCCUUAGUAUGCUUUCCUUCGUCAGGAAUAUGCUUUCCUUCGUCAGGAAGUUAGAGAAAUAUCUGAUGAAAGGAUAAGGAUGCGAUGGGGCCCAAUGAGCACCCGGUUCUAUCCUCUUCCUCUAUAUAUUCUCUAGCUUAGUCUCUUGCAAGGCAUCGGUCGAAAAACCAGAGCCUUACUUGAGAAGAAGAUUAUCCUCUAUCCUUUGUAAGCAUUUCAAGCUUUGUUCAUACCAAAUCUAUUGUAAGAAUCUUAAGCUUUCUAUAGUUCUUUGUGCUUAUCAUUUCUUACUUGGAUCCUGCUUCCCGCUUCCGUCGACUUUCUGGUAUCAGAGCCGGUUGUAUUCUGUUCUGAUAUAGUUUCUAACUAAAUUGCUAUGAUGUUUAUGCUAAGUUUGCUUUGUAAAACAUCACUUACGGUUUAAAACUUGUAAGGAGCCCGAGGAAGGCAGCCAGGUCAGGGAACCGCAGUAAGACCUUUGACGCAAGCUCUCUAAAGUUGAGAACGUAAGUAGAUUAAAACAAUGCAUAUUUAGCAUAUGUCUAAGCUUUGGGAAGAAGCUAUUCAAAAAUGGUAUACAGACUCCCAUACCUCCCAUCUGGACUACCUAAAUCUAGCGGAGACUCCAAAACCCACUAAAAAGGAACUAGCUCACAACAUCUCUGUCAUUUACGACCGAACUUGUCUUUCAAGUAGAGUAAAUCUGAGAAACUUCAAACUUUUGCUUGAAGAAAACCGCAACCUUGAGCAUAGGGUUAAGAACCUCGAAGCCUCAAUAACAACGCUGUCUUCCUUACUCAUCAAGAACAAGCCCCUUACUCAAGUUGAUGUUCAAAAAUUGGUUUUAAAGAUAACUAAGCAACCCAAACUCAUUGAGGAAGAAGCCUUACGACUUUCACAGAGCCUGGACCAAAAACUCCAAAGGAUUGAAAUUCUAUUAUCCAAAAUAGAAAAACAAAUCUUUGGAUGAGUCAUAUAUCCUCCAGGAGUACCGAAUCUUACAAAGAAGCUCUUAAAGCUACUGAAUCUAUUGAACCCCCAUCACUUGGAUUUCUCAAGACAAGUGAUUUUCAGGGAACUCUUAGCCAUCAGGUAGCCGUAAUCAAGCAGCAUAACGUACAAAUUCAACUUCUGGUACAAAUUGCUGAAAACAUAAAAGGAAUACGAACGGAGCUACAGACAAUACGGGAAUUGCAACAAUCAAAGGCGACGCAAUCCCAAGUGGUACCAGACGAACUCAUCACCAAACUAGCAAACCUCAACCUAGGCCCCUCUGAAAGGCCUAAGGAGACAAAAGGAAGAAUAUUAGUCUUUAAAGACCCUAUAAAAAUCUUCCAAGAAAACAGAAGAUGACUUCCAGAACACAGACCCAAGAGGUAUCUACGUCAACUCCUCUUGUAGAAGACCAAAUCAGGAACUACAGAAGAAACCAGAGGAGAAUAUUCAACGCUUGAAGACGACUUGGGCAACUCAUCUUCAAAAAUACAGACUUAAACGCACAGAUUCUGGAACAACAAAUAGACCCUCAAGCGCAGCUGCAAUUAUCCAUGAGGGAAAGAGCUGCAAUAGCACCUGCUGAAGUAUUGUACCACUCAAGGAGAGAUGAUGUGCAUCACAGGGUCUAUACGCAUCGAUCUGAAGAGGCUAUGUUGGUCACCAACAAUCAAGAAGACAGGGCUUUCAUUCAGGAGCCAAGCUUUGACCAACUGACCAGGAGCGGGAUGAGGUAUAUUCAUCUCGGGAUCCUACAAACAAGGGUCCAGACACUCCACAGACAGGAAGAGGGAACACUAGCACUAUUAGUGUUCCGAGACAACAGAUGGGCUGAUGACAGGUCCAUCAUUGCCACAAUGGAAGUAGACCUGACUAGAGGAAGUCAACUGGUCUACGUAGUACCAGAUACCAUGAUGACAAUAGGAGAUUUUUACCGUAAUAUACAACUUUCUAUACUAACCCGUGGAUAUGACACAUGGCAGAAUGGAGAAGCAAAUCUGCUAAUCACCAGGGGAAUGGUAGGGCGACUUUCAAAUACCCCGAAUGUCGCCUUUGCAUAUGAAAUUUCAGGGGUGGUGGAUUACUUGACAAGCCAUGGCGUAAGGGCUCUGCCAGGAAGGAGGUAUUCCACAGCAGAAAUCAGAGGAAGAGACUGGAUGAUCAGACCCACACAGGUUUCAAUUCCCAUACAACCUGCUGAACUCAGGAGCCGAAAUCUAAUUGACGGAAGAAUUUCAAUUAGCUUUGACAAUUAUAAAGCAGCAUCAACAUCCAGCAGAAUCCGUUACAACAACACGGAUGACGAAACAUUCAGUGAUGAAGAGGAAAUCCGAAGCCACACAAUAGCUGUCAACGUUCAAUUAACCGACAGCGAGGACGAGGCUGAGGAGCUAAAGGAAAACCUUAAUUCCUACUUCCAAGGCACCCACAUCACAGAAGAGGAUAGAACCGGGUGCUCAUUGGGCCCCAUCGCAUCCUUAUCCUUUCAUCAGAUAUUUCUCUAACUUCCUGACGAAGGAAAGCAUAUUCCUUCGCACAAUUAUUGGUGAUACUAUGAGCGGCUCCCCGAGGCUCAGCUCAUUUUCCUUAGUGACUAAGAAAAGCAAAAUAUUUUGUCCCACACCAUUUGUCUUUGCUUGACGGCUAAGCAAAGUAUUUAUGCCAGCUGUUAUUUGUCUUUGCCUGGCGGCUAAGUAAAGUAUUUAUGCCAGCUGUCUAAAGGCUGAAGCUGGUUGUCCUUUGUGAGACAUCUUUUACCAGAGAUAGGGCCUCCUUUAGUUGUUGUUGCUGUUGAAGGACGACUGGUAGCCAGUCCCUGUACCAGUUGUCCUUUCCACCGCUCCUUCUCUGAUAUUCUUUGGUCUUGAUUAAGUGGAUGUCGAAGAAUUGCUGUAAUGCUUCAAGUGCUUGUCGGGAGGCUUCCUUUUGAAUUGAUCCAAGUCUUCUUUCAGAUAAUCCUUCUUCAUUAAAUGAGAGUCCGUCACGUGUUUUGGUUCUGAGCUUGUCCAUUUCCUGUUGGUAUUGCAAGAGGUCGCCUGGUUUAUUAGUUGAUUCAGGUGUGUGGCAGCCUUGAUGUUUGGUUUGGCUUGAACUUCCUGGGUGGCUUCCAGGAUUAGGAGUAAUGAUUCGCUUGGCCAUCCUGCAACCAAAAUAUUUAUUAGUCUUGAUAAAGAGUCGGCUAGAAUGUUACUUUCCCCUUCGAUGUGCUCAAACUUCACUUCCACGCCGCUUCCAGUGAUAUAGUCUACAAAGGCCAUCCAUCUGACUCUAGAUGGUUUGUUCUGAGCUGACUUGUUGAAGAAGCUUAUUAUUGCUUGGCAAUCUGUUCUAAUAAUGAUUUCCCUUUUGUCAAGAAAAUAGAUCUUCAAUGCCUCUAGGGUUUUCAUAACUGCAUGCAUUUCAGCAUCUAUAGUCGAUUUGAUGGGAUUGUACUUUCCACUGGCGUAAGCACAUACCUUUUCAGUAUUUCUGGGGUCAUAUUUUUGUUUUUUCCAUUUACAAAUUCCUCCCCAUCCUUCCAUGCAUCCGUCUGUUUCUAGUAUUAUGAAACAGUCUUCAGGAGGUACUUCCAGGUCAGGAAGAUUCUGUACUAAGCUCUUGAUUUUCUUGAUUAGUUCCCAAUCUUGAUUGUUCAUCCUUUUCUCGCCUGUUGGGCUUGUUUUUGAAUAUAAUGGGCCUAAGAGUCUGCCCAGGUUGGGUAUGUAGCUUCUUGCAUAGUUUAGGAUCCCCAGCCAUGACCUGAGGCCUUUCUUAGUAGUAAGGUCUUCCUCCUGAUAGUCAGUAAUUUUUUUGAUGAUAUGGGGUUGUAGUUUGAUCUUGGAAUUCCCCAGGACUGCUCCAAGAAACUCAAUUUCCUUUACUGCAAUUUUCAUCUUUGUUGGGCUUAAAACAAGGCCAUUCUCUUGGCAUAUUUUUAACAUCUUGGUGAGGUGCUGCUCAUGCUCCUUUUCGUUUUCUGAGAAAACAAGGAUAUCAUCAAUGUAGACUGCAAUGAAUUGUUCCGUACCUCUGAAGCAAUUAUCCAUUUUCCUUUGGAAAACCGCAGGGGCAUUUUUAAGACCAAAUGGCAUUGCAAGCCAUUCAUACAACCCUUCCGGUACCCAGAAUGCAGUCCAUUCAAUGGAAUCGGGGUGCAUAGCGACUUGAUGAAAGCCAGAUUUUAGAUCAAACUUUGAUUAAAUUUUACUAUUGCUAACCUUUUUGAGGAUGGUGUUAAUUCCAGGGAGGCUAUAUUGAUCCUUCUCCGUGAUGUCAUUGAGCCUUUUGUAGUUAAAAACCAUCCUUUCCUUUCCUUUUCUUUCUGCUCCUGUUAUGGGGUCCACCGUGGUUCCAGAAUUAACAAUUAUAGCAGUGGUACGGUGCUUGCUUUUGCUUGGUCUGAUAACCCCUAUUUCCAGUAAUGCUCUUACAUGCUUUGAAAAGGCUUCCUUUGCUUGUGGUGUCAAAUGUCUGAGAGGCUUGUCUUCUACCACAAAAUCUUGAUUUUUGAUUUCCAACUUGCAUGUUAUUUCAUUCUUUCUCCAAUGCUUGAGAGGGUCCUCCCCAAUAUAACCUUGGGCCUUUAGCUGAUCUAGUAGGCUUCCGAACUUGGCUCUUAUUUUUUCAUUGCUCUGCUGGGCUUCUGCAGAGUAACAUACUGACUCCUGGAUUUGAAUAUAGUCAUCCUCUUCUAGGUCUAGUUCUUCUAUUGCUGCGGCUGUCGAGAUAUAGGGCAGAGUAUUAAUAGUUGUCAAAUUUUUGUAGAAUGUAACCGUGUUACCUUCGAUCCUGACCCCUCCUUGCAUUGCCCUUAUAAAAUUGCAUCCUAUUAUCAUCUGAAUAUCAUCCCCUAGCUUCAUUGAGAAUGCAUAAGUGUAGGGAAUUCUGAAACUGUUGGUUCCAAUAGUCAUUUUGCCUCCCCUUAAUUUUUUAUUUGCUGUUGUUUUGGAGGUAAUCCCGCUAAAAUGUACAACAUAAGGGUUUUCCUCCAUUGCCGCUUUUGGUACAACCUUUUCAUCUAUGCAACAAGUAGUCGCACCUGUAUCUAAUAUAGCAUUAACCUCAAAAGGGGGAAUAUUUAGAAUCUCCAUAUGUACCUUUAGGUUGAAGAGCAUAUUCUUAGAUUUUCUUGAUCCUCCCGUUUCCUUUGUUUCCAUAGAAAGGAUCUUCUGGGUUUCUUCUAAGAGAACGAGAGCUCCUUCACUUUCUUCUUCUUCGCUCUCUUCCAUCUUUCUUUUUCCCAACCUUUGUAUCUCCCUUAGUAUGCUUUCCUUCGUCAGGAAUAUGCUUUCCUUCGUCAGGAAGUUAGAGAAAUAUCUGAUGAAAGGAUAAGGAUGCGAUGGGGCCCAAUGAGCACCCGGUUCUAUCCUCUUCCUCUAUAUAUUCUCUAGCUUAGUCUCUUGCAAGGCAUCGGUCGAAAAACCAGAGCCUUACUUGAGAAGAAGAUUAUCCUCUAUCCUUUGUAAGCAUUUCAAGCUUUGUUCAUACCAAAUCUAUUGUAAGAAUCUUAAGCUUUCUAUAGUUCUUUGUGCUUAUCAUUUCUUACUUGGAUCCUGCUUCCCGCUUCCGUCGACUUUCUGGUAUCAGAGCCGGUUGUAUUCUGUUCUGAUAUAGUUUCUAACUAAAUUGCUAUGAUGUUUAUGCUAAGUUUGCUUUGUAAAACAUCACUUACGGUUUAAAACUUGUAAGGAGCCCGAGGAAGGCAGCCAGGUCAGGGAACCGCAGUAAGACCUUUGACGCAAGCUCUCUAAAGUUGAGAACGUAAGUAGAUUAAAACAAUGCAUAUUUAGCAUAUGUCUAAGCUUUGGGAAGAAGCUAUUCAAAAAUGGUAUACAGACUCCCAUACCUCCCAUCUGGACUACCUAAAUCUAGCGGAGACUCCAAAACCCACUAAAAAGGAACUAGCUCACAACAUCUCUGUCAUUUACGACCGAACUUGUCUUUCAAGUAGAGUAAAUCUGAGAAACUUCAAACUUUUGCUUGAAGAAAACCGCAACCUUGAGCAUAGGGUUAAGAACCUCGAAGCCUCAAUAACAACGCUGUCUUCCUUACUCAUCAAGAACAAGCCCCUUACUCAAGUUGAUGUUCAAAAAUUGGUUUUAAAGAUAACUAAGCAACCCAAACUCAUUGAGGAAGAAGCCUUACGACUUUCACAGAGCCUGGACCAAAAACUCCAAAGGAUUGAAAUUCUAUUAUCCAAAAUAGAAAAACAAAUCUUUGGAUGAGUCAUAUAUCCUCCAGGAGUACCGAAUCUUACAAAGAAGCUCUUAAAGCUACUGAAUCUAUUGAACCCCCAUCACUUGGAUUUCUCAAGACAAGUGAUUUUCAGGGAACUCUUAGCCAUCAGGUAGCCGUAAUCAAGCAGCAUAACGUACAAAUUCAACUUCUGGUACAAAUUGCUGAAAACAUAAAAGGAAUACGAACGGAGCUACAGACAAUACGGGAAUUGCAACAAUCAAAGGCGACGCAAUCCCAAGUGGUACCAGACGAACUCAUCACCAAACUAGCAAACCUCAACCUAGGCCCCUCUGAAAGGCCUAAGGAGACAAAAGGAAGAAUAUUAGUCUUUAAAGACCCUAUAAAAAUCUUCCAAGAAAACAGAAGAUGACUUCCAGAACACAGACCCAAGAGGUAUCUACGUCAACUCCUCUUGUAGAAGACCAAAUCAGGAACUACAGAAGAAACCAGAGGAGAAUAUUCAACGCUUGAAGACGACUUGGGCAACUCAUCUUCAGAAAUACAGACUUAAACGCACAGAUUCUGGAACAACAAAUAGACCCUCAAGCGCAGCUGCAAUUAUCCAUGAGGGAAAGAGCUGCAAUAGCACCUGCUGAAGUAUUGUACCACUCAAGGAGAGAUGAUGUGCAUCACAGGGUCUAUACGCAUCGAUCUGAAGAGGCUAUGUUGGUCACCAACAAUCAAGAAGACAGGGCUUUCAUUCAGGAGCCAAGCUUUGACCAACUGACCAGGAGCGGGAUGAGGUAUAUUCAUCUCGGGAUCCUACAAACAAGGGUCCAGACACUCCACAGACAGGAAGAGGGAACACUGGCACUAUUAGUGUUCCGAGACAACAGAUGGGCUGAUGACAGGUCCAUCAUUGCCACAAUGGAAGUAGACCUGACUAGAGGAAGUCAACUGGUCUACGUAGUACCAGAUACCAUGAUGACAAUAGGAGAUUUUUACCGUAAUAUACAACUUUCUAUACUAACCCGUGGAUAUGACACAUGGCAGAAUGGAGAAGCAAAUCUGCUAAUCACCAGGGGAAUGGUAGGGCGACUUUCAAAUACCCCGAAUGUCGCCUUUGCAUAUGAAAUUUCAGGGGUGGUGGAUUACUUGACAAGCCAUGGCGUAAGGGCUCUGCCAGGAAGGAGGUAUUCCACAGCAGAAAUCAGAGGAAGAGACUGGAUGAUCAGACCCACACAGGUUUCAAUUCCCAUACAACCUGCUGAACUCAGGAGCCGAAAUCUAAUUGACGGAAGAAUUUCAAUUAGCUUUGACAAUUAUAAAGCAGCAUCAACAUCCAGCAGAAUCCGUUACAACAACACGGAUGACGAAACAUUCAGUGAUGAAGAGGAAAUCCGAAGCCACACAAUAGCUGUCAACGUUCAAUUAACCGACAGCGAGGACGAGGCUGAGGAGCUAAAGGAAAACCUUAAUUCCUACUUCCAAGGCACCCACAUCACAGAAGAGGAAGUAGAGAUGCCGUACUCUCGGAAGCAUCAAAAGGAAUUAAUCGCAGCAGGACUAGAGGAGGAACUGAUAAUGGAAUACCCACAGUUAGCAAAGCUAUCUCAACAGGUAUAUUCAUCAUCUGCUAUAUCAAAUUACAGGCCACCGACGGACUCAACCAUGGGACCUGUAAACUAUCCCCCGGCUGUAAACAUAGAAUCCACAAGCCGGAAACCAGAAUACGAAGGACACUCAAGACAGCCAAGGUUCAAGGCGAAGAACUUCUCGGAAGCUUGGAACCUCCCUUCGGCCUUCCAACAGCAAGGAGCGAUGUUCAUAAUCCCAUCCCAACUGGGAAUGUUCGAUGAAGUGUUUAUGAGGUGGGAAUCAAUAACAAAGAAUUUAGUAUCUUUACAAGGAUUCACAGAUCCUCUAGCAAAAAUGGAAUUUAUUGAAAAUCUGCUCGGAGAAGCAGAAAAACUAGCAUGGAUCCAAUGGCGGAUGGCCUACCCCGAAGAAUACCAACUACUACUAGCUAAUGCGGAUGGAAUGGGAGGAACACAAAAUAUUCUCUCACAACUGAGGACGAUUUUUAUACUUGAAGACCCGUUUCAAGGAUCUACAACAACACAAGAAGAGGCUUACAGAGAUCUUGAAAGGUUAUCUUGCACUAACCUCAACCAUAUUAUUCAGUUCUUAAAUGAUUAUAUGAGGUUGGCAUCCAAAACAGGUAGGAUGUUUUUAGGACCAGAAUUAUCCGAAAAGUUAUGGUCCAAAAUGCCAGGGGAGCUAGGAAAAAGGAUCAAAGAGGCAUUUGAAGCAAAAUACAAGGGAAACACCAUAGGGGUAAUCCCAAGGAUUCUUUUUUCCUACAAAUAUUUAGAAGCAGAGUGCAAGGAUGCUGCAUUCAGAAGAGCAUUAAAAGACCUAUCCUUUUGCAGUAAGAUUCCUAUCCCAGGAUAUUACAACAAACCCGAAAGAAAAUAUGGGGUAAGAAGAUCGACUACCUACAAGGGUAAACCCCACUCAUCUCAUGCAAGAAUUGAAAAGAGGAAGCAUUUGAUAAGAAAUAAGAAAUGCAAGUGCUACCUUUGUGGAGAAGAAGGACAUUUUGCAAGAGAAUGCCCUAAUGACAGGAAAAAUAUUAAAAGAGUAGCAAUAUUUGAACAAUUGGAUAUUCCGGAAGAAUACGAAAUACUAUCAGUACAAGAAGGAGAGAACCAAAGCGACGCAAUAUAUUCAAUAUCUGAAGGAGAGAAUACAGAAGACCUGCAGCAUGGUAUUCACUCCUUCACUCAUAAAAUCUUUGCUCUAAUAGAAGAUAGUAGAACUUGGUGGAUAGGACCUGAGACAGGGUACCGAGCAAGAGUACAAGUUUCCCAAGAACAAGCUGAGUGCAGACAUAUAUGGGAAAUCAACACGGAGCUACAACCAGAACUUGAAAGAUGCAAGUGCUGCAAGAGAAAGUCACAAAGAAGGCAUAGGAGACACUGUCCCUUAUGCAAGAUCACUUCGUGCGGGAUGUGCAGUAUAUAUUACUUUGACAAGAGAACCCCCGUAAUGAUGGAGGAACCACCAAGUUGCAGAAGCAUCAGUAUCAGCAUUAGCCAUAAGCCUGGUUUUAGGAUUAUGACCUUUCUUGAAUAGAAUUUUUGGAUUUAAAUUGGGUAUAUGGAAGGUUAUUUUGUUUGCCUAUUUGGUUUAUUACAUCCAGUUGUAUUCUUGGCUGCUCUUUCCAGAUGAAAUUUGGAUUUUCUGUCCUGGUUUUCUACAAUUAGUUAUGACGUUUGGUAGCAGGAUUUUAUUUUGGAGUUAAUACAUUUCUAAAUUGGGUUCAUUACAUCCUUUGGUGUUCUUGGCUGGUUGUAUUAGAGGAAGUCAGAUAAUUUUGUUGAAUAACUUGAAUUCUGUGGUCAUUGUUUCCAUUGGCAUCAUUGCUGUUCAUUUAUUGCCAAAAUGCGGUCCAACAGUGCAAAGUUGUUACAUUUGAAAGGUGAUGUGAACAAUGUAGUUCGAACAUCUACGGAAAGCCUAGCAUGAUUAAACAGAAAUUCAUGGGAAAGACUUUAUUGGCUUUAACUGGUUUUCCCAGGAUUAACAUUAGAUUGAAAAGCUUGGAACUGACAUUUGAAUUGAUCCACUAGUACCUGUUGCUAUUGCCCAUGAUGUUUGCAAGUUUUGGUUCGAUUUUGUUCUUUUCCUGUGUGUACAUGUUUAUAUGGUUCAAAGAACUCUGGAAGGUUGUGUUUGGUUGAAAGGGGGCGGUGCAUUUGGAUUGAGAUUAGCAAAUUGAAAAGAUUGGAAGAUGACUUUUGAUUGAGAUGGGCAUUGAGAAGGUUGGAAAAUGAUUCUUUAGUUGAUUCGCAAGUCUCAGUAGCUAUUACCGGUGAUGUUCUGCAAUUUAUGGAUGGAUUUUGUUUUAUUUUCCUGUGCCUACAUAUUUGUAUGUUCCACUGAACUUUGGAAGUUCUGUUUUUGGUUGAAAACAUGGUGCAAUGGGAUGUUGUAUCUAUUAUGCAAAUUGGUUGUACCAAAAAUUAUUGUGGACUAGUACUCAGAUUUUGUCAUAAGUUAUCAGAUCAAGGUUUUUGA